rnacentral:rRNA from 1 species
AACGAACGCUGGCGGCAUGCCUAACACAUGCAAGUCGAACGAGACCUUCGGGUCUAGUGGCGCACGGGUGCGUAACGCGUGGGAACCUGCCUUUAGGUUCGGAAUAACUCAGAGAAAUUUGAGCUAAUACCGGAUAAUGUCUUCGGACCAAAGAUUUAUCGCCUUUAGAUGGGCCCGCGUUGGAUUAGCUAGUUGGUGGGGUAAAGGCCUACCAAGGCGACGAUCCAUAGCUGGUCUGAGAGGAUGAUCAGCCACACUGGGACUGAGACACGGCCCAGACUCCUACGGGAGGCAGCAGUGGGGAAUAUUGGACAAUGGGCGAAAGCCUGAUCCAGCAAUGCCGCGUGAGUGAUGAAGGCCUUAGGGUUGUAAAGCUCUUUACCAGGGAUGAUAAUGACAGUACCUGGAGAAUAAGCUCCGGCUAACUCCGUGCCAGCAGCCGCGGU